rnacentral:rRNA from 1 species
CUGAUGUUAGCGGCGGACGGGUGAGUAACACGUGGGUAACCUGCCUGUAAGACUGGGAUAACUCCGGGAAACCGGGGCUAAUACCGGAUGGUUGUUUGAACCGCAUGGUUCAAACAUAAAAGGUGGCUUCGGCUACCACUUACAGAUGGACCCGCGGCGCAUUAGCUAGUUGGUGAGGUAACGGCUCACCAAGGCAACGAUGCGUAGCCGACCUGAGAGGGUGAUCGGCCACACUGGGACUGAGACACGGCCCAGACUCCUACGGGAGGCAGCAGUAGGGAAUCUUCCGCAAUGGACGAAAGUCUGACGGAGCAACGCCGCGUGAGUGAUGAAGGUUUUCGGAUCGUAAAGCUCUGUUGUUAGGGAAGAACAAGUACCGUUCGAAUAGGGCGGUACCUUGACGGUACCUAACCAGAAAGCCACGGCUAACUACGUGCCAGCAGCCGCGGUAAUACGUAGGUGGCAAGCGUUGUCCGGAAUUAUUGGGCGUAAAGGGCUCGCAGGCGGUUUCUUAAGUCUGAUGUGAAAGCCCCCGGCUCAACCGGGGAGGGUCAUUGGAAACUGGGGAACUUGAGUGCAGAAGAGGAGAGUGGAAUUCCACGUGUAGCGGUGAAAUGCGUAGAGAUGUGGAGGAACACCAGUGGCGAAGGCGACUCUCUGGUCUGUAACUGACGCUGAGGAGCGAAAGCGUGGGGAGCGAACAGGAUUAGAUACCCUGGUAGUCCACGCCGUAAACGAUGAGUGCUAAGU